UGGGGAAUUUUGGACAAUGGGGGAAACCCUGAUCCAGCCAUCCCGCGUGUGCGAUGAAGGCCUUCGGGUUGUAAAGCACUUUUGGCAGGAAAGAAACGUCAUGGGUUAAUACCCCGUGAAACUGACGGUACCUGCAGAAUAAGCACCGGCUAACUACGUGCCAGCAGCCGCGGUAAUACGUAGGGUGCAAGCGUUAAUCGGAAUUACUGGGCGUAAAGCGUGCGCAGGCGGUUCGGAAAGAAAGAUGUGAAAUCCCAGAGCUCAACUUUGGAACUGCAUUUUUAACUACCGGGCUAGAGUGUGUCAGAGGGAGGUGGAAUUCCGCGUGUGGCAGUGAAAUGCGUAGAUAUGCGGAGGAACACCGAUGGCGAAGGCAGCCUCCUGGGAUAACACUGACGCUCAUGCACGAAAGCGUGGGGAGCAAACAGG
rnacentral:rRNA from 1 species